rnacentral:rRNA from 1 species
UACGGAGGGUGCAAGCGUUAAUCGGAUUUAUUGGGCGUAAAGAGCACGUAGGCGGAGUGGGAAGUUAGAUGUGAAAUCCCGAGGCUCAACCUCGGACCCGCAUCUAAAACUCCCAUUCUAGAGGAUGGAUGGAGAAAAGGGAAUUCCACGUGUAGCGGUGAAAUGCGUAGAUAUGUGGAAGAACACCGGUGGCGAAGGCGCUUUUCUAAUUUAUUCCUGACGCUGAGGUGCGAAAGCAAGGGGAGCAAACAGG